rnacentral:lncRNA from 1 species
GCUUAACAGUAACCCAGAAAGUGUUUGUGGCCUCCAGCCCUGUUCCUUUUCUCCUCAGCUGCCAUCACUGUCCUGCUCCUCAGUGGUUCUGACUGGAUUGUGUUUAAACCAUAUCUCCACUGAGUAUCACCAGUGAGCUGAGGACCAAGGCCUGGCAAAGCAAGAAAAAUUACCAGCAUGGAUUUGCUAAGAGAUCAAGGUCUGCAAGGACUUGUCCCUGGGGUGAUUUUCUAGCUCUUCUGGACCUUCUUUCCCACCCUCCUGGAGCUACAAGUAUAAGCUUGACUGUCUCAUCUCCUUCAGUGCAACCAGAAUUCCAUGUCCAAAUCUUGACAGUCAAAUUGAAAACCUUGUGUCCUCUUCCCACUCCCAAAGUCAACAUGGCCCAUGAAACCUCACAGAAGGAGCAACUGGGAAUAAAAUUCUAUUUUGGGAGCCUCUCCCUCCAUCUGCAAUGGAUAACUUACUUUGCCAGAAUUUGAGAACAAAUACUUUUCCCUCCAAGAGCAUGGACACUCUUUGCAGGUAACAAUAUAUGGACCUGCUGGCAGGCAGCCAUAUAAAUGACUAUUGUAGCAGCAUCCCAUACAUCCCUUGUAAUAGAGGCUCUCAAAAAGGCCUUGUUUUUUACAUCAUUUCCCACCAUCUGACAUAAGAAUCAUUCCUGAUGCAAUUUUAACUAAACUAAUCUGUGUUUGGAGGCAAUUUUCUCCCUCAAAUAUUUCUGGGUGUUCCAUAACCAACACAAGCUGAUCAUUUGUCAUUCUCCACCAGAGAAGGUCACUGAUGACCAUUUUAGCACCUCUCAGUACUUAUCUCUCAUGAGGAAAUGAUGGUCCUCAUUGAAGGACUCAUUACUCAUUCAGUAAAAAAGUUUGCAUUAAGUUUCCAAGACAAAUUGUUCCAGAAUAUUGGUUUGCUAUUAGAUCACAGGAAAGAAAUGAUACCUAGUUGGACUUAGGAGCAUGCUGAGGUGCUGAGGAGCAGAACAAGGCUGAGAGAAACCAGGUUCUCCUGGAUCCAGAGCAGACAGAGCCAUCGAGUUCAUCUGCUAGGGUCUUUGUCACACCACUAGGAAUCAGGCCUUGGAAUAUGUUCUGUUUUUUCUAAACACUACAGGUAACAAGAAUAGACUAAUUCAGGAAUUCAGAAUUACCUGGUUUAUAGCAAGGAAACAGGGCAUGGCUGGAUUGGGUCCAUGUUUCUACCCCCAGCCAAAGCAUACCACACUCUUAGAGGAGAAUUUCUUGCUUCACAUCACUUGGUUGUCAAAAAGCACUAGAAAGGUUCCCAAGAGUGUUUGCUGUGGCCUCUACCUCUUGGGCCAUUACGUGGCAUGAACUCCUAGGAAUGUGAUUUCACAUUGCUACCCAGACCUUUAGAGCUACUUUGAGACCUACCUAGUCCUCAAGAGACAGAAUCCAGGUGGAGGGUUUGGAAGUAUCUGCAGCAAAACUGACACAGAAGGCACAGCUGCUGCGU